rnacentral:misc_RNA from 1 species
UGCAAACCGUGCAUAUUGCCCU